AGGACAGGUUGGAGAGUCGCGCUCCGGGAAGGUUUUUCUGGGGUGAGGAAAGUCCGGACACUCGCCAGGGAGUAAUUUCUGGCAACAGAUACUGGGUAAUACCCAGCCGCCGUGAGGCGCGAGGUGCGAACAGAGACGGUUCUGUCCGAAAGGAGAGGACCCACCCAGGCACUGGGUCGGGGUGGAGCCAGGUAGCAAUACCUGGUGUGAAACGGCUAAAUCCUUAUCCGAGUGCAAGGUCGUGCCGGAGCACGGAUUGAUACCCUCCCUCUCGUUUUUCAGCAGGAGGGAAAAACGCGUGUGGGUGAGUAUCAAUCCGUGUUCCGGAGAACCGCAAAGAAUCAACGAGUAAUCGUUCGAUCAAGAGAAAUGACUCUCAACCGUGCGGACGUGUGCCGGAAGUCAUGGUUCUCAAGGAGGGCGAUGGAGUUGGACAUGGGUCCGCACGGUGACAGAAUCCGGCUUAUACGCCUGUCCUGAAA
rnacentral:RNase_P_RNA from 1 species